rnacentral:rRNA from 1 species
UACGUAGGGAGCAAGCGUUGUCCGGAAUCAUUGGGCGUAAAGCGCGCGUAGGUGGCCACAUAAGUCCGUUGUGAAAGUCAAAGGCUCAACCUUUGAAAGCCGAUGGAUACUGUGUGGCUAGAGUACGGAAGAGGCGAGUGGAAUUCCUGGUGUAGCGGUGGAAUGCGCAGAUAUCAGGAGGAACACCGGUGGCGAAGGCGGUUCUCUGGGCAUGACCUGACGCUGAGGAGCGAAAGUGUGGGGAGCGAACAGG